CUACGGGGGGCUGCAGUGAGGAAUAUUGGUCAAUGGGCGAGAGCCUGAACCAGCCAUUCCGCGUGCAGGAUGACGGCCCUAUGGGUUGUAAACUGCUUUUCUACUAGAAGAAACCUGAUUACGUGUAAUCAGUUGCCGGUAUAGUAGGAAUAAGCAUCGGCUAACUCCGUGCCAGCAGCCGCGGUAAUACGGAGGAUGCAAGCGUUAUCCGGAUUCAUUGGGUUUAAAGGGUGCGCAGGUUGGCUUUUAAGUCAGUGGUGAAAUGCUGCCGCUUAACGGUAGAAUUGCCAUUGAUACUGAGAGUCUUGAAGAUGGUUGAGGUAGGCGGAAUGUGUUGUGUAGCGGUGAAAUGCAUAGAUAUGACACAGAACACCGAUUGCGAAGGCAGCUUACUAAGCCAUUAUUGACGCUGAGGCACGAAAGCGUGGGGAGCGAACAGGAUUAGAUACCCCGGUAGUC
rnacentral:rRNA from 1 species